UAAGAAGAAAGUGGAAGAGUUGGAAAAGAAGUUAGCUGAGGCCAUGUAAACCAUCGAAAAAUUGAAAGAGAAGUUUGCAGAAAAACCUGAAGGCAAAGAGGAGAAGGCUGAAUUAGGUAAAAAACAAGCAGGCAAUCUUCCUGAUAAGCGUGCUGGACGUCAAG